rnacentral:rRNA from 1 species
GCAUAUCAAUAAGCGGAGGAAAAGAAACUAACAAGGAUUCCCCUAGUAACGGCGAGUGAAGUGGGAAAAGCUCAACUUUAAAAUCUGGCAGCUUCGCUGUCCGAGUUGUAGUCUCGAGAAGUGUUUUCCGCGCUGGAUCGUGUAUGAGUCUGUUGGAAUACAGCGUCAUAGAGGGUGAGAACCCCGUUCAUGACACGACUACCAGUGCUUUGUGAUACACUUUCGAUGAGUCGAGUUGUUUGGGAAUGCAGCUCAAAAUGGGUGGUAAAUUCCAUCUAAAGCUAAAUAUUGGCGAGAGACCGAUAGCAAACAAGUACCGUGAGGGAAAGAUGAAAAGCACUUUGGAAAGAGAGUUAACAGUACGUGAAAUUGUCGAAAGGGAAACGCUUGAAGUCAGACGUGCGCGGUGCGAUUCAGCCUUGGUUCGCCAGGGUGUACUUCGUACCAUUGCAGGCCAGCAUCGGUUUUGCGAGCCGGAUAAAGGUUAGAGAAAGGUAGCGGCUCAGGCCGUGUUAUAGUCUCAAACUGAAUACGGAUUGUGAGACCGAGGGACGCAGCGCGCCGCAAGGCAAAGGGUUCGCCCUUUUCGCGCUUAGGAUGCUGGUGAAAUGGCUUUAAACGACCCGUCUUGAAACACGGACC